rnacentral:rRNA from 1 species
UACAGAGGUCUCAAGCGUUGUUCGGAUUCAUUGGGCGUAAAGGGUGUGUAGGUGGCGCCGUAAGUCGGGUGUGAAAUUUCGGAGCUUAACUCCGAAACUGCAUUCGAUAACUGCGGUGCUUGAGGACUGGAGAGGAGACUGGGAAUUCAUGGUGUAGCAGUGAAAUGCGUAGAGAUCAAUGAGGAAGACCAGUGGCGAAGG